rnacentral:lncRNA from 1 species
UGGGUCUGCUGGCUCCUGGUUCAGAUUCCACGCAGUGUUGGAUGGGAGAGGAGGGGAGCGACAGGAGACAGAGUCACCUGAGCAGCUCAGGACAAAGGCCGGAGAGAAGAGGGGAACUUCCACCGCGAGGCCGGGCUGCACUUCCGGUGGGGACAGAAAGCUCUCCAGGAAGGCGACAUUGGAGCUGAGACCUGCAGGAGGCGAGGGGGAGAGACCGAGGACCUUCCCUCUGGCCGGGAGCACAAAAACGGCCACGUUCAGUGUGUUGGAUGAGCACGACUGAGAACAAAGCCAAAGCAAGCAGUGACGGCCAGGAGGACAUUUGCACAGAGGGUUUGGACGAGGGCCUGGCGGCGAAGCAGAGGUGGAGCAAAGACCUGAAGACAGGAAGGCCAGAUCGGGAGGCUCUGCUGGAGACACCCUUCUGGCUGGUGGCCUUCUGCUCUCUGAGAAAAACAAGGCAUCUGUGAAUUGGCAGCUCUGGAUGACACCACGGCCGCCAUCACAGCAACUCCGCCCAUUGCUCUUGGUCGUUUGUCCAGCGCUGGAAUAGGAACCCAGAAGACGUUAUCACCGGCACUCCCGGGAGAGACCUGAGCCCUGCAGAGAGCAGAGGAAACCAGAAGCCGAGAGAAGGGAAGCCCCGGAGCACUUCCCCUGGUGCCCGCCAGGGGGCACUGUCUGUCGCGGUGGCAUCACUCCUGGCGGCGCUGGGGCCCACCCGUGUCCUCCUGUCACCGUCCUGUGGCCACCACUGCUGCCACGCUCCCCAGCGCGCCCUGCGCGGAUCCCUGUGCACAGCUGUUCUUCUCAAACUGCUCACCCGUGCUCAGGUGCUCUCCGGCGGCGGAUGUGAGGCCCUGGGAGGUGACUGCCCUGUACCCCGACCACGGGGACUGGGUCCUGGGGCUGCAUUAUGUCUGCUGCUGGGCACCGCUGCAGCUCUGCAGAGGCCUGGCCGCGGCUCCUCUUCACCUGGAGAAAAUAACAACCACCAGGCGAGGGCGGAAGGCCCCGCAGAUGUGUUAGCCCGCGCGGCUGGCAGGUCAAACAGGGAGAAUCCGAGCCAGCUGCUGACUGCGCGAUGGGCCGCCGGACGAGGCACUGUGUUCAGCAGGCUGCGCCAGUCGGGGCGGGGCGAGGGGAAGCCGGGCCGAGCAAGUGGCUGCAGCCGGGCAGGGCCUCCAGCUCGCAGGCCUGUGCACGGCGGGGUUGCUUCGUUCCGCCUCCCUCUGGGGGAAGCCGUGUUCUUACCCUUCUCAGCCAAGGAAACCCAGGCUGCUCAGUAA